UCUCCUCUCUCUCUCUCUCUGCUGCGUGCUGCGCUUCGCUCGUCCCCAUCUCUCACAAAUCGCGUCUCUUUUACGCACUCCCCCCUUUGGCCGAUCAAAAACGUAAGGACACUACAAUAUUGAAUUCUACAGUCUCGGCUGGUUAAAGGCUCGUUGGGGCUCAGGUGCUUCAGUUUUAGCAAGGUGCAGGUUUGGAGAUCACUGCUCAGUCGAGGUCUCUCAUCUGCCGGCUUCAUUGCCCCAAAACUGACUUCCUGCUCGGUGCUAUCGGGACCUCAGUGUGCGGCUGACAGGGGGGAGGAUGGAGUGUGCUGGGGAUGAGGAGUGUAGGUAUCUUCCAUGGCACAUGUGUGACCAACACCCUCUGCCACUCUGAUGUGCUUUUACAUGCCGUGACGUCGAGCUAGAGCUUGUUUCAUGCCUUCCUCCCUCCACCCGAAAGAUCCCAGCAUUUGGGGUCUGCUGGAUCUGUCUCCCAAAGGUCCUCAGUGAUGCCUUCCUUGCACCCUUUCCUGCGCCGACGUGCAGCCACAGAGGCUGCAGCCGUGUGCUGCACGUCACUCACCACGUCUAUUAAAUGCUGAAAAACGAUGUUGGGGAGCAGCUAAAGAUGGAGACGCGUCCUUCUAAGCGAACAAUGGACACCAAUUCACAAUGGUCAAUGCAUAAGCGGUGCGUAAUGUGUUUUGGUUUCUGUACACGUCGUCCAUAGCAGCCGGUGUGUGUAGUGUGUGUGUGUGAUGAAGAGAGAGAGGGGGGUUGGGGGCAGAUAGAGGAGGGGACCAGCGACGCGACGCAGCAGCUCCGCGCGCACACUGUCAUCCGAGGAGAUGUUGGGAUGCAGGAGUAGAUGCUGGCAGCAGUAUCGCCUCGGCCUCGGGUUGUCUCUGGUCACUGAAGCAAAAAGUAAUGCCAGUGUGUGUGUGUGUUUUUUUUUUUUUUUAGAAAAAAACCCACUUGUGUGGGUUGGAUCAACUCAUUGUGCAGGUUUAAUCUCAGUGAGUGAAGGCGUGCAACGUUUGGGUUUCUCCCUGGACUUCUGGCUCUUCCACUUCCAGAUGCUGGUACAAACUCGCGUUAAAAUACUCAAUGGACUUGAACCGGAGAGGAGGAAUUUAUUCAAAGUUCAUGGCUUCAAUCUGUGGUGUGCAGACACAGAAAUACAUAUCUGCAGGACAUCAGGUCAACGGAGACACACACCCCCUCCUGCUCUAAGGGUCAGAGGUCAGAGUGGGUCAAAACAGACUUCAUCACUCCAAAGUUACAGUGUACAGCAGGAAGAAGAGGAGGAGGAGGCAGUGGAGGAGGAAAAAGAGAAGCAGAGUGGGUGGAUGAUGGAAGGAGAGAAGGAUAGAAGCAGUUCGAGGAGGUGGUUCGAAGCGGGUGAACCCAGAGCAGGUGAACACAGCUGUGGAUCGCCAUGGGCUCUCUGGCUGCCCUCCUUCUGUGGCCUUGGCGCUGCAUACAGGGGUCCCGGGGAGCCAGCAGGGGCCAGCCAAAGCUGCGGCAGAGUGGGCAGGCUAGGCCAGCCAAGCCAGGAGAGAGGCAGGUGAAGCGGGUGAGCCAAGCUCUCAUCCCCGGCGGCUAGGAGCCUCCGCGGCAGAGCGGAGCAGCAGAAAUCAAUACAGAGGAGAGAGGCUAGCAGAGGUUGCCCAGCACCGCCUGCAGGCCACGGAGCCCAGGGACCAACCACCACCACUGCUCCCAGCUCUUCUCUCCAUCUCUCUUUCUAUCUUUCUCCAACAGUCCCAGCACCAGCCAGGGCCAGGGCCCUAACCGACCCACACGCAGUGUGUGUGUCAGUAGGUGCACAUGUGUGUGUGUGCAUGGAAAAUAGAGAGAAAAGGGAGAGGGAAGAGACAGAGAGAAGAGUCUUUGUGUGUGGUUCAGCCAGAGGGUUUUUUUUCUGCAUCCAACACCACUUGAUAAAACUUUGUCAGAGAGACACAGAGACAGCGAGGGAGGGAGAGAAACGGAAGAAGAAUAAGACAGGACGUCGAAGGUCGCGUUUCUUCCAGCUCCCUCCCUCUUAUUACUCAUUCCACCUUAACUGUUUGAUAAGGAUCCAUCGGAGACGGUACACAGGACAUUUCUUCUCAGUCCCACUUCCAAGCACAAAGCGCACAAUAUUCCUAAGAUCUCAUGAGCCAGGAUGAAAGGACAAUUUGAACUUUUUGCCUUAGAUUUUCUUACCCUCACUACAGCAGCUCCCAUCAGAGGAUAUGGCAGUGCAGUAUUGAUCUGUAAGGUGUAAGAGAGGAAGGCGGGCCCGGGCUUUUCAUACCUCUCUCUCUCUCUGUGUGUGUGUGUGUGGGUGUGGAAAUGGCACCUGAAGUCCACUUACUGCUGUGCAGCAAUGAUCCCAUGGCAGUACAAGCGAAUCACUGCUAAUUGAAUGAGAGAUGAAAAGGACAGUAGUUGUACCUGCUCAGUGUCCCCCCCCUGUCUAAAACUACUCGGUUUUUCAUCUGACUUUUUUCUCCUCCACCUUUACAAAAGUCCUUCUCCACACAAAGAGACUUGCUCUUCAGAUGUUUUAGCAGAAUUGGUGGUGACUAAAGAAAAUUGGCAAAAUCUUCUGGAAGGAAAAAAAAACCUGUCUUCAGUAGAAUUUCUUCAUGCAGUGGUAGAAACAUCCGGCUGAGAAAAAGUUUUAAGGUCAUGCUACAAAAUGUACUGUACUGUAGAUAUUUGUGGACUUGGAAGGACAUUACAGGACAGAUGAACAGUUUUCCUAGCAUGAAAACUUGCUGAGAUAACAACAGGAUUCAUACCUCUUGAUGCAGCCAGUCAGGACUGCCACCAUGGAGAUGAAAAACAACAACUGGCCAUUGGACCCUACUCUAACAAAGCAUGCGCACUGUCUGUAGUCAAUUUCUCCGAACAUUUAGCUCUUAGCCUCCUCAGCCACUUAUGGAAAAUGUCAUCUCUGCACCUGCAAGAACAGUUAGUUAGACACACAUCAUUAGAGUCUG